CAAUAUGAAGGUCAGGCUGAAGACCUUACCCGAUUAGCUGAGAGGUGGUUCAUGGCCGUCGUCAGUUCGUACUGUGAAGCAUCCUGUUAAGUCAGGCAACGAGCGAGACCCACGUCCACAGUUGCCAGCAUACCCUCCGGGGUGAUGGGUACACUGUGGAGACCGCCGCUGCUAAAGCGGAGGAAGGAGUGGGCAACGGUAGGUCAGUAUGCCCCGAAUCUCCCGGGCUACACGCGGGCUACAAUGGUUGGUACAAUGGGCAUCUACCCCGAAAGGGGAAGGAAAUCCCUUAAAGCCAAUCGUAGUUCGGAUUGAGGGCUGCAACUCGCCCUCAUGAAGCUGGAAUCCGUAGUAAUCGCGUUUCAACAGAACGCGGUGAAUACGUCCCUGCUCCUU
rnacentral:rRNA from 1 species